rnacentral:tRNA from 1 species
GCCCUUGUAGCUCAGCAGGUAGAGCAACGCCAUGGUAAGGCGUAGGUCGCCGGUUCGAUUCCGGCCGAGGGCU